UGCCUUUUAGAAUAUCUGUUUACAGUGCUGGUUGGGCAAAAACACCUUGUAGGCCUGGAAUCAUUUGCUCUAAAUUCGGAGCCAAUAUAUGGUGCUGUUUUCACCAUAACCUUCUUGGGACUGGGAGUCAAGGAAAGAAUAUCAGGGUGGCUCUUCUUCUUCUUCUCCCUGGUGACCCAAAAGUGAAUCUUACUUUCCAUGUCUGAGACUUUUGUUUUGCUUGUCUAGAGGUCUUAGUUCCCAAGGGAUGAUUGCUUCCACCAGGAGACACAGCAGGGGUUCUAUUAAAUGGGAAGUCGAGGCCGCCAACUGGCCACUUCGCGCUCUUCAUCACAGCAACUCAACAGGCAAAGAAGAGUUUCUGUACUGGCUGGGCUGAGUGUUCCUGACUAUCAAGGGUUGCUUCUCUGCAGCACAGUGGAACGUUCUAGCCUAGAGCUGGAUGGGAUUUUGAGAUUUCCCUGGUCCUGCCCAAUUAUCUUACAAGACUUGCCCAAAAGUAGCUGGUGGAGAUCCCAGAAGGUCUCAUUCAGAGAAGAAGAGUCUGGGUGCUCCAGGCGUCUGAGCAGCUGAUGGAGUGAGCGGGGGUCUGACUGAUGGCAGCUGGAACAUCAUGGAAUCCGUCAGGCCUUGAGAUGACGAACUAUGUUGACUUCCUCCUGGCAUUUGGGAGAACCUGUAGUGGUUCUUGGCUCUGGAUGUAUGGUGGCAUCAUUUAAAGAUGUUUGGAUAAACAAGUAUCAGUGCACAACUCUGCCUCCAAACCUAUUGAACAAAAACCUUUCAGACUAAGUUUAACUAACCUGAAUCUAGAAGGUGAGGCCAGGUAUCUCCCAUUUCUUUUCCCCAAGUCUAGGGCCCUGAGUUACUUCUCCAGAAUCCACCUUCUGACAAACUACUCCCAGGAGGCCAUUUCUCAGGUGUGUUUAGCUGAGUGGGAAGGUGUGGUGUGGAGAAAACAAUUGGGCUGGGCUUGGUCUCUGACAUUGGUGCUGCUCGUCUGACCUGGACUGUCUGAGCCCCAUGGAGAGAAAGGCUAUGGGGGAGAAUGGGGCAAUGAGGGGUGAGCAUGGCAUGGCUUUGGGUGGGAGCCAUGACAAUGGUGUGGAGAAGAGAGGAUAUCUGCUUCACCUGUGUGUGGCAUACAGCAGGGCUUCAGAGCUGGAAA